AGCCCAGCUGCUGAUCCCUGGAGGGGUGGCAGGGAGUGGAGCGCUCCAGCUGUGCCAGGGCACACUCCAGCUGUGCCAGGGCACAAUCCAGCUGUGGGAUGUUUGCACUUGCCCCAUGGUUACUUUGGCAAGAAGAGGCUUAAGCUGCAGACAAACAGCAGGGGAUUGUCAGGACUUCGCAGCCAAGGAGGAGAGAGAGUUGGGUCAGUGGCCACACCAUGCCAUCAGCCACGCCAGCAGGGCUGGUGCUGGGCAACUGAGAGAGCAUGAAAUGGCCACAAAAACAAGGUCCCAGGCACAAAGAAAGUGGAACUGUUGGCUGAAACAUCAAUGCAGGCCAUAGAGCCCAUCCAGGUACCUCCCAGGAGGAAAUGACCAUGGAAACAAAAGGGAGGCUGAAGGGACAUGUUUGCCAAAAAAAAUUGGGCAACAAGGUUUGCACAUCUUUGCCAGUGUUGGGAUUUGGACAAUUCCCAGCUCUCCCUCAGACUGGACCCUUCUCCAGGUGCACAGGACCUUGCUCAUGCAAAGAUUCUCACCAGCACUCAGCAAAAAAGAGUCAGGAAUCCACUAAGGUUUUUGCUGUUUUCUUGGUUCCUGUCAGCAGCUUCUGGCACGUGCCAUGCUGGAGGGGGAAAAGAAAAAGGAAAACUAAAGUGGAGUUUCUCGUUUAGCCGGUCUCCAAGCAAGGCAGGGGACUCAGAACCGGGCAGCUGAUGGGAUGUGAGGUUUGGGAUCCCCAGUGAAACACUUCAUUUUCCCCUCUCCAAUGUUAUCACUGCCUCCUCUCACUGCCCAGGGGCUUUUAUUGACCUUGCUGCCCCAAAGGUGGCUGCUGCCUCCUGCAGAGCUGCAGGAUAAGGCCAUCCACAAAUUCAGUGAAGAAGGCUGCAAGAAUCUGCUGGUGGAAAAAUGUAUUUCCCUCCUCUAUUUCUUGGAGCCUGGAUUUUGAUUUUGAUUUUAUUAAAAAAGCUUUUCCUUCA